rnacentral:rRNA from 1 species
UACGUAGGCAGCAAACGUUGUUCGGAGUUACUGGGCGUAAAGAGUGCGUAGGCGGUUCGCCAAGUUUGGUGUGAAAUCUCCCGGCUUAACUGGGAGGGUGCGCCGAAAACUGGCGGGCUUGAGUGUGGGAGAGGGAAGCGGAAUUCCUGGUGUAGCGGUGAAAUGCGUAGAUAUCAGGAGGAACACCGGUGGUGUAGACGGCUUCCUGGACCACAACUGACGCUGAGGCACGAAAGCGUGGGUAGCAAACAGG